rnacentral:SRP_RNA from 1 species
GGCCGGGCCCUGUGCGACGGAAGCUUGCAAACCCCGCCAGGUCCGGAAGGAAGCAACGGUAAGCAAAUACUUCUGGGUGCCGCAGGUCGCCUGGCCUUU